rnacentral:lncRNA from 1 species
AAACAGGCUCUCUCCACUUUAAACAAAGAUUUUGGUAAUCUUACCUCAAAUGUGGAUAAGGCUAGAGCUAUUCUCCAUGAUACGCAGAAUGUUAUUGCCUCUAAUUUGAAUUAUCCCUCUCUCCUCAAGGCUCAAAGGCUUCAAUCUGGAAAUUUGUGGCAUGCCCUCAAAUGUGAAGAGAAGUUACUCAAGCAAAAAUCUAGAAUCCAAUGGCUUAAGGAUGGGGAUAAAAACUCAGGCUACUUUUUCAAUCAAAUUAAGAAUAGGUGGAAUC